rnacentral:rRNA from 1 species
GGAAUCUUCCACAAUGGGCGAAAGCCUGAUGGAGCAACGCCGCGUGUGUGAUGAAGGGUUCCGGCUCGUAAAACACUGUUGUAAGAGAAGAAUGACAUUGAGAGUAACUGUUCAAUGUGUGACGGUAUCUUACCAGAAAGGAACGGCUAAAUACGUACCAG